CACAGAGUUAGCCGAUGCUUAUUCCUCAAGUACCCGUCAGAACUUCUUCCUUGAGAAAAGAGGUUUACAACCCACAGGCCGUCAUCCCUCACGCGGUAUUGCUCCGUCAGGCUUUCGCCCAUUGCGGAAAAUUCCCUA
rnacentral:rRNA from 1 species